GGGGCGUGGUCAGCGCGGGCUGUGAUGAACAGAUUGGCGUAACUCGGGGCGAACCUGCUGCCCAUAGCGGUCCCAACAGUCUGCAGCUGAGGAGAUCGCUGUCGGCCCUGGAGGACUGAGCACAUCACGCCAAUCAGCGCGUCCGAGGCCGGGUCACUGCAACCACCAGGAGAGACACGGAGCACAGCAGAUAGGACCAAAGAAGCAAGAACUGUAUGGAAGGGAACAAGGAAUGAAUUGUGCUGAAAUCCCAAGCAAGUCUUGCAAAAGCUUUGCAUUAUCUCAUGAUGAGGUGGGAACAGCGCCUGGAGAAGGAAGGCUCGGCACAGGGUGACGUGUCCGAUGCCGUAGUCCCUGGACGCACAUCUCUCCCAGCUCGGCCAGUGGGUCCUCGGUACUAGUUGCAGUUCCUUACCUCUGUUUGCACCAUGGCCGGUCGCUGUGUUCUUAAAGUCUUCACAGUCUGGAACAUGUCCACUACUCCUUCAUACCUCAUCCUCUCCAGGACAAUGCUGAGUGUGAU